AACGAACGCUGGCGGCAGGCCUAACACAUGCAAGUCGAACGAGAAGCCACCUUCGGGUGGUGGACAGUGGCAGACGGGUGAGUAACACGUGGGAACGUGCCUUUCGGUUCGGAAUAACCCAGGGAAACUUGGGCUAAUACCGGAUACGCCCUUCGGGGGAAAGAUUCAUUGCCGAAAGAUCGGCCCGCGUCGGAUUAGCUAGUUGGUGGGGUAAUGGCUCACCAAGGCGACGAUCCGUAGCUGGUCUGAGAGGAUGACCAGCCACACUGGGACUGAGACACGGCCUAGACUCCUACGGGAGGCAGCAGUGGGGAAUAUUGGACAAUGGGCGAAAGCCUGAUCCAGCCAUGCCGCGUGGGUGAAGAAGGCCUUAGGGUUGUAAACCCCUUUCAGCGGGGAAGAUAAUGACGGUACCCGCAGAAGAAGUCCCGGCUAACUCCGUGCCAGCCGCCGCAGUAAAAC
rnacentral:rRNA from 1 species